GACGAACGCUGGCGGCGUGCUUAACACAUGCAAGUCGAACGGAAAGGCCCUGCUUUUGUGGGGUUCUCGAUUGGCGAACGGGUGAGUAACACGUGAGUAACCUGUCCUUGACUUUGUGAUAACUUCAGGAAACUGGGGCUAUUACCGGAUAGGAGCUCCUGCUGCAUGGUGUGGGUUGGAAAGUUUCGGCGGUUGGGGCUGGUCUCGCGGCUUAUCAGCUUGUUGGUGGGGUAGUGGCUUACCAAGGCUUUGACGGGUAGCCGGCCUGGGAGGGUGAACGGCCACAUUGGGACUGAGGUACGGCCCAGACUGCUACGGGAGGCAGCAGUGGGGAAUAUUGCACAAUGGGCGGAAGCGUGAUGCAGCAACGCCGCGUGCGGGAUGACGGCUUUCGGGUUGUAAACCGCUUUCGCAUGUGACGAAGCGUGAGUGACGGUAAUGGGUAAAGAAGCACCGGCUAACUACGUG
rnacentral:rRNA from 1 species